rnacentral:lncRNA from 1 species
UUUUUUUUUUUUUUUUCUGGUCUUUUUAGGGCCACACCCAAGGUGUAUGGAAGUUCCCAGGCUAGGGGUUGAAUCAGAGCUUCAGCUGCCAGCCACAGCCACAGCCACGCCAGAUCCAAGCUGCAUCUGCGACCUAUACACAGCGCAAGGCAAUGCUAGAUCCUUAACCCAUUGAGUGAGGCCAGGGAUCAAACCUGCAUCCUCAUGGAUACUAGCCGUGUUCAUUACCACUGAGCCGCAAGGAAACUCCAAAGCUCUGGUUCUUAAGAGUAGAGAUAAAUAUCUAAAUUGGUUGCAGUAGGAAUGAAAAAGAAGCGAUGAAGAAACAUUAUUUAACAUUUUCAUACAUUGCUUUAUUUCAAAACCGAUUGUAGGUGGCUCACAAAUGUGUCGUUAAUUAGUCAUGACAUAUUUGUCUCUGUACAUCUAUAUUUAGUAACACCUAGGAUCACGCUUAAUUUAUUUUUUUGUCUUAUCUCCUACUUUGGGGAAAGUGCAAUUUUAUGGACUCAUCAACAGAGUGCUUCAUAUGUGCUAGGACAGCUCAGGCCCCACAGAGAAGUCAAGGUCAAAGAAGGCAAAGCCCUGGCCCUCAGCAAGACUUCAGGCAGGUAAAGGAGUCAAAUGUGGAAAUAAGACAUCAUGAUACAGGAAGACCAUUUAAAAAGCCAAAAGAGGAGUUCCUGUCCUGGUGCAGUGGUUAACGAAUCCAACUAGGAACCAUGAGGUUGCGGGUUUGAUCCCUGGCCUUGCUCAGUGGUUAAGGAUCCGGUGUUGCCAUGAGCUGUGGUGUACGUUGCAGACGCGGCUCGGAUCCCGCAUUGCUGUGGCUCUGGCGUAGGUCGGCGGCUACAUCUCCGAUUCGACCCCUAGCCUGGGAACCUCCUUAUGCCGUGGGAGCAGCCCAAGAAAAGGCAAAAAAUAAAUCAAUAAAUAAAAAGCCAGAAGACAGAGAAGGCAGACACUAUUUCUUAUUUAGUGGAUUAUAGAAGGUUUCAUGGAAGAGGCGACACUUGAGUUGAAACUCAAAGAUAAUAUGUUAGCCAACAGCAAAGAACAUUCCGAAUGACGAAAUAGCAUGAGAAAAGGCACAAAGAAAGGAAAUCACUGUCUUAUAUCCCUAUCCAUAGUCCGUGGAACAAUCCCUGGCACACAGUAGGUACUCAAUAAAUACUGGGUGAGGGAGUUCCCCUGUGGCUCAGUGGUAAUGAACCUGAAUAGUAUCCAUGAGGAUUCGAGUUUGAUCCCUGGCCUUGCUCAGAGGGUCAAGAAUCCAGCAUUGGCAUGGGCUGUGGUAUAAGUUCGGAUCAGAUCUGGUGCUGCUGUGGCUGUAGGCCAGCAGCUGCAACUCCGAGUCAACCCCUAGCCUGGGAACUUUCAUAUGCUACAGGUGCAGCCCUAAAAAGAAAAAAAAAAGGUUGGGUGAGCAGAUGAGUAUUUAAAAGGAAGUCGAAAAAAAAAAAUAAAUAAAUAAAUAAAAGGAAGUCGAAUUUCAAUAAGGGUAAAAGACAGGUUAGGAAAUCAAAGUGGGCCUUAGAAGCAAUGCAAAGUAUUGGUUAUUUAUUUUCCAAAACUGGGAUCCUGAGAAGGCUUUUGGAUAAAGAAGUUAUAUAUGGUAAAAGUUUGCUUGGAUCACUCCAACAAUCAAGGAAGCUAGGGAGCAGACCAAAAGCCAGAGGGAAAAAACCACCUAGGAAGCUACUGCACCAAUCCAAGCUCUUGAGGAAGUGGCUUGGGGCAGGAGAGCUGUAAUUCACGAAGCACUUUGGAAACAGAAUCCAUAGACCAACAAGAGAUGUGGUGUUAAACCUGAGUGGCGUGCAAGAUAGUGUCUCAAUGAACCAAGACGGUGAAUGGAAAGAGCAGGUUUGGAAGCCAGAAGAAGUUCAUGACAGAACGAAGGGAGGACACUGAAGCCUUCAAUUCCUUUCUGUGUAUUUCUGCCCCAACCCAUAAAAUAGGAAUUUCCACCAUCGACUUGCACAUCUUGGGGAAGUAUUAGGAGGGAGCCGGUGGCCUGGCUUCCCUUGCUUUGGGGCCUGUCUGUGCCUUAACUGCAUGCAUCCUCCUUCUCUACUCUUGCAAGCAUGUGGUAGGUGUAUGUGGUCAGGGGCCAAAGCCUGCCUCCACGGCCACACAAGCCCAGGGCUCGCCCCUCUUUGGCACUCAUCCUUGAAGGUGCUGGUGUCCCACCGUGACCGUGGAGCUGGAUGGAUACGAUGAUGCUCUAUUUUCAUCUCAUCUGGACUCAUGUCUGUUCUCAACUGGUUCAACCCAAAGAGGUGGAAAAGUGCAAUUCAUCAGCAGUCCUACCCCUCACACUGAAUUUGAGGUACAAGUAAAACCAGGUAAAGAUAUUCAAUACAUGGCUUAACAUGCUCGCCUGGAAUUCAAGAGAGAGAGAGUGGAGAGAAGGUACUUGUUUGAAGGUCACUCGAAAAUGAAUGAGGCAGUGUUCCCAUCAUAGUCUAGUGGUAAGAAAAACAACUAGUACCCCUGAGGACAUGGGUUCAAUCCCUGGUCUUGCUCAGUGGGUUAAGGAUCUGCUGUUGCCAUGAGCUGUAGUGUAGGGGGCAGACGAGGCUCAGAUCUGGUGUUGCUGUAGCUGUGGUGUAGGCUGGCAGCUACAGCUCCGAUUAGACCCCUAGCCUGGGAAUCUCCAUAUGCUGCAGGUGCAGCUGUAAAAAGAAAAGAAAAUUUUUUUUUCAAUUAUUGGGAAAAAAACAAAAGGCCAGCUCAGAGUGUAUGUAUAUGUGUGUGUGUGCGCGCGCGUGCAUUUGCCUGUGUUUGUGCAUGGAGAUGGAACCAGGCCAGAGACCCAAGCUUUUAACACUAGUUAUGUCAGAGAGUCAGGAAUAUAGAGGGGUUGGGAGCUUAUUAAUAUAUGUAUUUUUUUGUCUUUUUGUCUUUUUAGGGUCGCACCUGCAGCAUAUGGAGGUUCCCAGGCUAGGGUCCUAAAAAGACAAAAAGACCAAAAAAAAAGGAAUUAAUUAAUUAAUUAUUUUAACAAAGAAAAAACUUUUCCUAAGCCACUAAGGAGCAAUCGCCUAAGUCUAGGUAAGCUCACCUCCUCCAGCAAAGAACCCAAGCCCCCUUGUCACUCCCUGUAUUGCAGAGGGAGCUUCCCAUGCAUGUAAUGACUUUUUGUGCAGCCUGCAUGGCACUCAGGGUGGGCACUGUCCUUUAUUACUUCCUCCAAGUGGGUGAUGCUGUCCUGCGACCAAGUGACAACUUGGAUCUCCCGGGAAGGGAUGUCCUAUAAACAAAAAUAGUUGCAGUCAUUACAUAACUUCAUCCCACCUCAGCAACUGGCCUUUGUGCAAAAGCUCACAACGCACACAUGGACUUGCUCCUGACCCUGGGCCUGCUGGGGAGACAGGAGCCAGAGCUAAUGAGAAUGAUGAACGACUAGAGCCCCAUCCACCGUGCGCUGAGCCCACUGUCCACGCUUGGGCGACUGGCUUUGCAUGCUGCCCCCUGCAAGGGGUGUGACAGCGUGAAGAAGCCGGGCCUGUCCCUUCUGUUUGGACCAUCUCUCCUGGAGAAUGAUGGGAGCAAUUUUUUUUUUUUAAUAGCUACACCUGCAGCAUAUGGAAGUUCCCAGGCUAGGAAUCAAAUUAGAGCUGCAGCUGGAGCCUACCCCAGCCACAGCAAUGCCAGAUUCGAGCCUCGUCUGCGACUAGGCCACAACUUGCAGCAACUCUGGAUCCUUAACCCACUGAGCAAGGCCAGGGAUCAAACCUGCAUCCUCAU